rnacentral:rRNA from 1 species
GACGAACGCUGGCGGCGUGCUUAACACAUGCAAGUCGAACGGAAAGGCCUCUUUCGGGGGGUACUCGAGUGGCGAACGGGUGAGUAACACGUGAGUAACCUGCCCUUGACUUUGGGAUAACUUUAGGAAACUGGGGCUAAUACCGGAUAGGAGCUCCUGCGGCAUGGUGGGGGUUGGAAAGUUUCGGCGGUUGGGGCUGGACUCGCGGCUUAUCAGCUCGUUGGUGGGGUAGUGGCUUACCACAGCUUUGACGGGUAGCCGGACUGAGAGGGUGAACGGCCACAUUGGGACUGAGAUACGGCCCAGACUCCUAAGGGAGGCAGCCGUGGGGAAUAUUGCAAAAUGGGUGGAAGCCUGAUGCAGCAACGCCGUGAGGCGGAUGACGGCCUUUGGGUUGCAAACCGCUUUCGCUCAUGACGAAGCUUUGUGUGACGGUAGUGGGUAAAGAAGCAACGGCUAAAUACGUG